GGGAAUGUGGCUUAGUGGUAGAGUGCUUGCCUAGCAUGCAUGAAGCCCUGGGUUCAAUUCCUCAGCAUCA
rnacentral:tRNA from 1 species